AUGCCUUACACAUGCAAGUCGAACGGCAGCACGGGAGCAAUCCUGGUGGCGAGUGGCGAACGGGUGAGUAAUAUAUCGGAACGUGCCCAGUCGUGGGGGAUAACGUAGCGAAAGCUACGCUAAUACCGCAUACGAUCUAAGGAUGAAAGCGGGGGAUCGCAAGACCUCGCGCGAUUGGAGCGGCCGAUAUCAGAUUAGCUAGUUGGUGAGGUAAAGGCUCACCAAGGCGACGAUCUGUAGCUGGUCUGAGAGGACGACCAGCCACACUGGGACUGAGACACGGCCCAGACUCCUACGGGAGGCAGCAGUGGGGAAUUUUGGACAAUGGGCGCAAGCCUGAUCCAGCAAUGCCGCGUGCAGGAUGAAGGCCUUCGGGUUGUAAACUGCUUCUGUACGGAACGAAACGGUGAGCUCUAAUACAGCUUGCUAAUGACGGUACCGUAAGAAUAAGCACCGGCUAACUACGUG
rnacentral:rRNA from 1 species